GACAGAGGGUGCGAACGUUGCUCGGAAUUACUGGGCGUAAAGCGCGUGUAGGCGGGCAUUCAAGUCAGGUGUGAAAUCCCCGGGCUCAACCCGGGAACUGCACUUGAAACUGGGUGCCUUGAGUGCUGGAGAGGGAAGCGGAAUUCCUGGUGUAGAGGUGAAAUUCGUAGAUAUCAGGAGGAACACCGGUGGCGAAGGCGGCUUCCUGGACAGUUACUGACGCUGAGACGCGAAAGCGUGGGGAGCAAACAGG
rnacentral:rRNA from 1 species